AAAACUCCAAAAAAUUAUAAAAAUAUUCCACGAAAAUAAAAAAAAAAAAAUUUGAAUUGUAUUUUUCAGAAACACCCUGGCCGGAAAAAUUAGCACAUAACAACUCUGAAAAACCUCGAGUACCAGCACAGGUUCACUCCAAAAGCCGAAUAGAGAUAAGUGGGGAAAAUUUAAAGUAAUCUCGUCGUCUGGUAGUAGUUUGAGCAACACAAACCUCUUGCAUCAGGGCGGGGCUCUACUCAUCUUUGUUGCUUCUAUUCACCGCCUUAUGUAUAUGCUGUUAAAUAUUUACGUAAAUACUCAACCGCUGUUAUCUGUUAUGUAGUUGAAGUCUAGUUUUUAUUUUAGUAAAUUAACUGUAAAUGUGGUAUUUAUUGUUAUUGACAUGUAUGAGUGUAUGUGUAAAAGUUGGCCAUAUGAUACCGAUGACAUUUACGAGCACGUUCUUGGAUCUUCACUUCAUUCGACGGAAGCUAACAUGAAACACAUAAAUCCUAAAGGGCAGCUCUAACAUUAUGUUACACGCGUGGUAUUCCAUCAAGGGCUUUUCCACACUCUCACACAUGUGUAUUUAUGUAUGUUGAAUACUACACCGCGUACCGAUAAUUUAAAGUGUGAUUUAUUGACCUUUUUUGUUGCACUAGGGUUACAAAGCUGUCACGAUUCAAAUGUCUUUCAUUGCGGUUGGAGUUUACUCUUUACUCUACAUGCCGAUGACAAGUCUAUUUUAUUCGCCUGUUUGAUUUAAUUAUUGGAAAAACCGGAAGAAAAUUUAAUUAUUUUUAGCCAAUACUUGUUUGUAACUAGGAAGUCUAAAAUUAAUUAAAAAAAAAUUAUAUCAAAUAACUGUGUUAAGAUUAAGAUUAAUGUUCAUGAGUCAUAUUUUUAUCAUACAGCUUUCGGCGAAUCAAUUACGUAAAUAAUAUUAAAAAUAAUAAAAAUUGACAACAUAACAGUGUAAGAAUAACAAAUUCAUGUGUUAUCUUGUUUUUGAUUCAUAUAUUUAAAAUAAAACAUUUUUUCGUGUCAGAUAAACUACUGUAGUUGACAUUCUGAGUAACGCGAUAUUUAUCAUAUGAGACUUGAGUCGUGAUUGCUAUUCAUUGUAUUUAAAAUAAAAACAACAUUUUCUCUGGUAAACACAAUAAAUUUUCAAAUCUACAAUAAAAUUUAGCUACGGAAAGUAAAAUAAAAUGAACUCGAACAAGAGUAAAGUAAUAGACUAAAUAAAUUAAGAUCAGAAUUGUUGAAUCGUGAAUUGAUAAAAUGAAUGAGAGUCACGCUCCGCUAAUUCGCCUGAUAAAUAAUUCUUUACUUCUUCUACUUUCGAACAAAACCGUGACUGGAACAAGUAUUUUAUUACGUCAAUUAGAACACUUUCAAAAGUAUAUCCAGCUAUUUUAUUUUAUUAUCCAAAAACUUCUUUACUAAAUUACGUACUCUCUAAUGAGAAUUUAAUGAAUUUUUUUAGCCGAGGCUAUAAAGAAUUGCCUUAAAAAACUAUUGCAGAAAAUCCGAAAUCGAUUGCUCGAACGGUUUUUGAGAUACAGCGAAUCCGUACAUCCGGAAUAAAAAUUGUACGUAUGUACGGAUUCUAUUUUCCGGGAUAAUUUAUUACCGAAUCAAUUUGGAAGUUUUUUGUAACACUUUCAAUGGAAUACUAUGAGUAGAAUUCAAGUGAGAAGAUAUUUAAAAAAAUAAUUGUUACGAUAAAAUAAUUAAUAAAAAGCCUGAAUGAAAAUGGCGGUUAACCUUUGAGUCUUUGGCUAUUAUCCCUCGUAAAUGAAUAAAGUGAUCGUCAACUAGGAAUAAAAAGAACUCCCACAGUUCUUUUGUGCAAUAAUUUUAAAACUCGCCGCUUUGUCAAUGUCAAGUAAUUCAAUGAUAACUUUUGCGAUAAUUAAAAAAAUAAUUGAAUUAUACAAUUAAUAGGGCAUAGAAAAAUGCGGUCAAGACUCAUUGUCUACUCGUAAUUCGUAAUUGUAUUAUAUAGUGAUAGAGACAAGUUCAAUCUCAAGUCUGUCGAGUAAUACCGUGUACACCACGUUCAUUACCGGAAACGGAAGCUCCACCCUAGCCAGUAACUGCGCGGCCGCGUGGUCGCGCACAAAGAAUUUAAUGCUUUUACUCGUACAAUUUAUUUAUAAAUAAAUAAGUAAAUUAAUAUGCUCGAUUAAUUUCUAUCUAGAGAAGAAAUUUCCCAAUGAAAAAUACAAAUUUUGGUUAUAAACUUUUUUAAAUAUGAGUAAAUGGUUAAUGAUAAUUAAUUGAUGCGAACAAAUAAUGUGACAAAAGUUAAAAUAAUAAUGAGAAUUGAAGUUAAUGGAAUGCGUAGUGACUAUCACGAUCGCCACCCACUUAGUCUUAAGUAGAGGGCAAGGGGAAGAUUGUUGUGAAAUAAGACUCGCCAGUGCAUACGUAUGAUACCGAGUGCACUGGCAUGGGUAACUCAAUACAAUUCUCAGUUGUUGAUAUGAAUGUUGGUUAAUAUUGUUAUUGUUGCAUGUGUAUGUGUGAAUGUAUGAUAUAUAAUAUAA